UCAAAGGAUGAUAGCAUAAUAAAAAAAUUGAUCGUAACCCUACUCCUCCGAAUGUUUUACCCUCCUCACUCUCUUAUCCCAAAUCUCUCUCUCUCUCUCUCUUUGUCGAGAUCUGUCGCCUCCUUCCCUUUUUUCUUUACAAACAGUUUCAGAAUCACCUUCACCAAUCGUUAAACUUCUACUAAUCCAUUGUGAUCCAACAAACAAAAGAGGGUAUUCAUGGAAAACAUCUUCCACUUUUGAGUAAUAAAAAGAGAGAAAGAAAAUGUGGAUUUGGGAUUUUUUUUUGCAAAUUUCAUGUACAAUUUGUAUUGAAACCCUUUAAUAAUUUCUGCGUUAAUUAGCUCAAUCGAUUUAAUUAUUAUUUUCUUUUUGUUAUAUGUUCGAUUUUGAUUUCUGUAUUUUCAAUAUGAAAUUUAUUCUGUUGAUCACUAAACCUAGUUCUAUCUAAUGAUUUCAUAGUGAUUGUGCUCUGGCACUUGUGGUGGUGUUGAUUCUAAUUGCGAAGGUUGUGGUGAUAAUGGUAGUUGUUUAAUUUUGAUUGGUUUUGGUGGAUAGUUUUCCUAGAUUAGUUCAAUUGAGGGUAAUUUUUGGGCUAAUUCAUGGUGUAAAUUUAGCGAUUAUGGUAGAUAAGAUGUUCUCUCAGUUUAAAAUGCAGUAAGAAAUUAUUACAUGAUUUAUUGGAUCUCGUUUGUGAUAUUUAAGUUCUUUAGUUGUGAUAUUACAUGAUGAUACAGUAAGAAAUGUUUGAAGAAAUUAAAAUAAUUUGUUAUUAUUGUUUUUCAGAAAUCCUUAACAGACUUUGUUUUUCAUUAUUGUAUUGUUAGUUUCAAUUUAAAACUUUGAUUAGGUAUUUCUAUUUUAGUUUAAGUUUUCAAGUUCAAUAUGUCAAAAUUAAGUUUUCUGUUUUCUUUGAUUUUAAUGGGUGAACUAUUUGAUAAGUUGUCUCAGUGAACAUAACGUUAUUUGUCUAAACUUUCGUAAGUUUAAUUGGGUAGUUACCAUUCUAUUCAAUCGAAAUUAUUUAUGUUAGAUUAUGGUACAUCCACAUAAUACUUCAGGGAUACUUAUAGACAUGUUACCAAGAUGCUGGUGUGAUUGCUGGAUUAAAUAUAACAAGAAUCAUCAAUGUACCAACUGUCACACUAUAGCUUAUGGUUUCCUUGACUAUAACGGGUGUUGCGUCUGUUGACAUGGUAAGGGAAUAAAAACCACACAUAAAGAGAAAUUAGCUUUCGUGAAUGUUAAUAUGCAUUUGACCUUACCCACCAUUUUUUUAGUGUAAAAAAUCUAGGACUCUCCAUUUGUCAUUUACUCCCCGCUUCCUAAAGGAUGAUGCUUUGUGAUGAUAUUUUGAUGAAUAUUUUGAUGAAAACAAAUUUAAUAGUUUAGUGAUGCACCUUUUUUUUCUCUUGCAGAUAAGCCCUUUUGAACCAUGACAUUUCUCAAUGUCAACUCCCAUACCAUAUUUUGUUUGUUUCUGACGCACUAAAUUGGUGUUUGAUUCUGUUAGAUAUCUGCCUGUGAUUUCCAUUUGAACAAUUUCCAUACGCUCACUCAUCAAUAGAACUGAUGGGGAUAGAUAGACACCUCUGUGCCAAACUUUAUGUGAAACUAUUAAUGCUAACUAAACUGGAUUAGUCUUCAUGCAUUUAAUAUACAUUUCAGAGUGAUUAUAUAUAUGACUACUAACCCAAGUUCAGUCAGCCCACUUCUGCGAUAAUCAUUUCAUUAGUUGGUCAGGAGUUGUGGAUGCACACAUGAAGGAUGGUGUGAGACUUCUUAACCUCAACGUGGUAAUGUGAUUGGAGUCCAGUCCAUUACCAAGAGUCAACCCACAAGUUCUGGAACAAUAAGGUAACCUGCAUUAUGUGCUGGUCAUUGCUACCCAUUUAAGGAAUUACAUUUUUCCAAGGUAUUGCAGCCGCCACCGCCACCAUCAGCACCGUCCCUGUCAGAACAAUGAGCUAUUGCAGCGAGACGGCGAAGAGGGAGCUCCACCACCCUCUGAGGAUACAGCGAAAACGACGACGUGCUACAACCAAUGCUGAUUAUAACAGCAAAGAACUUCAAGCAAUGAUACAAGUGGAGGCUUAUAUAAUUCAAGCGCAGGCUAACCAAAUAUGCGCACAAAAUGAGAUCAUCAAAAAGCUGCAAGAAGAUGAUGAAAAGUUCACACAAAAAAUGCAGAAACCGAUGCUUACACUCGGGCUAAACAACAGUACCGUUGAUGGAUCAACUGAUGUUUUAGUCUUGGUAUUAUCUUUUUACUUAUUUACUUGUCACAUUAAUGUUGGAUCAACAGUGUUUUUUUUAUUUAUUCGUAGAGUUUAUUUAUCGGGUAUUUUUUAGUUUGGAUACUGUUUCAACAACUUAUUUAAAUGGAUAAUUAUUUUUUAUUCAACUAA